GUCCACGCCGUAAACGGUGGGCGCUAGAUGUGGGACCAUUCCAUGGUUUCUGCGUCGCAGCUAACGCAUUAAGUUGACCGCCUGGGAGUACGGCCGCAAGGUUAAACUCAAAUGAAUUGACGGGGCCCGCACAAGCGGUGGAGCAUGUGGUUUAAUUCGAAGCAACGCGAAGAACCUUACCAGGCCUUGACAUCCAAUGAACUUUCUAGAGAUAGAUUGGUGCCUUCGGGAACAUUGAGACAGGUGCUGCAUGGCUGUCGU
rnacentral:rRNA from 1 species